rnacentral:rRNA from 1 species
AGAACGAACGCUGGCGGCAGGCUUAACACAUGCAAGUCGAGCGCCCCGCAAGGGGAGCGGCAGACGGGUGAGUAACGCGUGGGAAUCUACCUAGCUCUUCGGAAUAGCUCCGGGAAACUGGAAUUAAUACCGAGUACGCCCUACGGGGGAAAGAUUUAUCGGAGUUAGAUGAGCCCGCGUUGGAUUAGCUAGUUGGUGGGUAAUGGCCUACCAAGGCGACGAUCCAUAGCUGGUCUGAGAGGAUGAUCAGCCACACGUGGGACUGAGCACGGCCCAGACCUCCGUAGGGAGGCAGCGAGGUGGGGAAUUAGUUAGGACAAGUCGGGACGCGAAGCCUAGACU